rnacentral:rRNA from 1 species
AUUGAACGCUGGCGGAAUGCCUUACACACGCAAGUCGAGCGGCAGCACGGGGGCAACCCUGGUGGCGAGCGGCGAACGGGUGAGUAAUACAUCGGAACAUGCCCAGUCGUGGGGGAUAACACUUCGAAAGAAGUGCUAAUACCGCAUACGUCCUGAGGGAGAAAGCGGGGGAUCGCAAGACCUCGCGCGAUUGGAGUGGCCGAUGUCAGAUUAGCUAGUUGGUGGGGUAAAGGCCUACCAAGGCAACGAUCUGUAGCUGGUCUGAGAGGAUGAUCAGCCAAACUGGGACUGGGAAACGGCCCAGACUCCUACGGGAGGCAGAAGUGGGGAAUUGUGGACAAUGGGGGCAACCCUGAGCCAGCCAUUCCGCGUGAGUGAAGAAGGCCUUCGGGUUGUAAAGCUCUUUCGGCAGGAACGAAACGGUGAGCUCUAGCAUAGCUUGCUAAUGACGGUACCUGAAGAAGAAGCACCGGCUAACUACGUGCCAGCAGCCGCCGUAAUAC